rnacentral:lncRNA from 1 species
GAUGAGCCAGGUGACUCGGCCACCACGGAGUUCCCACUGGGGUCUGUGCUUGGCAGGCCUUUCUCCAGGUACUCUACAGCCCACAGGUCCUCUCUGCCCCUAGGUAUAUCAUCUGUCUCCACGACCCUUGCCCUUUGAGGUGGCACCUGAAACUCUCCAGGGUUCACAGGCUCAGUCCUAUUACUGAGUAACAGAUGGGUGUGGCAUUGUCUAGCCCCUGGGUGGACGAGCAGUAUUGGCAUGGUGUACAACUGAGUGUCUGGAACCAAAUGUUAGGGCUGCUUCAAGGUCAACAACCAAGAUCCAGGCCUUCAGACCUCUCUCUGGGGCAACAGUGGGUGUGUGUCCCAGAAUUUCCUGCACAGGUGAGCCUCCUGUGUUACUGUAGUUGAAAUGAUCUGGAGCUGAUUUCUGUGGCUGCUUUCAGGUACAACAGUGCGAGUGAGCUCAGCAGGUCAGCCUACAGGAGCACUGACCAGGUAUACCUCCCUCAAGGUCCCCAAACUGGCAGAACCACUCCACAGCCAUAGCAGAGAGGGGCCGGGUAAGAGACUCAGGGCCAACACCUCACCUGCUGUGUUACCAACAUCUGCAGACUUGCAAGAUACACAGCCAGGACAUGAGGCGCUACUGUGCCCUACUCUGCCUGAGCCCAUCUUCAGCAAGUUUUAGCAACAGAAUCAAGGCCAGAGGGGAAUGUGGCAGUCCCCACAUAGUGACAGGGAUGUUUCCAGUUCUUGAGCUGAGACACUCUUUCUGUCUUGGGCUCCAUCAGGGUAUCACAUAUUCCUGCUUGAACUUGUAAGCACCCACAGAGCCUGCUGCCCAUGGUGGCUGUGGCAUAACGGGGAGGAAACACAAAGCAGGGACCCCCUAUCCAGCCACAUUGCUGUCAUCACUCUCCUCUUUUCAUGAAUGUUACUUGGCCACUUUUAGAUCAACCAAUAUUACAAAGAGUUUCCUACACCAGAGUUAAGAAUAUGGGGCAUAGUGACAAUUAACAGCCCACUUUCUACUUGUCAUAUAAGUUAAGCUCCAUGCUUUACUCAAGUUUCCCUUCUUACCUAAAGUUCAUCUGUUCCAGCUCCCUCUCCAGGACAAAAUGUGACAUUUCAUUGUCAGAGCUCCUUAGAUUCCCCACUGUGUCUGUUAUUGGGACAUUUCUUGUUUUUUAUGUUGACAUUACUUAGAGGUGAAGUGUUAAACAGGAUAAAAUUAUGGAAUGUUAAUAGUCAUAAAUCAUAGUGUGCAUGAAAAUUUUUAACCAUCUGAAAUUCUCCUUUCAUGAGACACUUUGGUAGGUAUCAGACCCAGCGUAACAUUUACUUGGUCUUCAGUACAAUUAGGAAAGGAGGGUGGCCAGGUGUGGAGAGACCAUUCUCAUCACUGAACACCCUCUGUCUGCUCCGCACAGCUCCCUGGCUCAGUCUGCUCAGGCAGAGAGUUGCUCUAUGAUGUUCAGGGUCUUAUUCAGUAGCUGAGAUGUGGUCAAAGAUGUUCAAGUUCAGGGAGAAAACUUGUUUGAAUCAGUUUUACAGUGUUAGAGCUUGUGUUCAUUUCCUUUGCUGCUGAAACAAACACACACAGUUGGUGGCUUAAAACAUCAGUAAUUUGCCAGGCAUGGUGGCACACACCUGUAAUCCCAGCAACUCAGGACACUGAGGGAAGAGGAGCACAAGUUCAAGACCAUCCUGGACAACUUAGCAAGACUCUGUCUCAAAUUUUAAAAUAAAUAAAUAAAAACAACUGGAUAUGUCAAUCAGUGAUAAAAAUAAAAAAAAAAAACAACCCUGGGUCAAUCCCCAGUACUGCAAAAUUUAAUUAAUUAAUUGAAAAGGGCUAGGGAUAUAACUUAGUGAUACAGUGCCAUGGAUUCAAUCUCUAGUACCACAAAAAAAUAAUUAAUGGAUUAGAACAAAAAAAAAAAAAAAGAUACCAAACCCAGGCAACUUAGCAAGCUUCUGUCUCAAAAUGUUUCCCUACCUUCCCAGCCUCAAAAGGCUGUAGCACUGCUUGGCCUCUGCCCUUCAGUACUAGUACUUUGUCUUCUCAUCAAAAGCACUUACAUGGGCUGGGGCUGAAACUCAGUGGUAGAGUGCUUGCCUAGCAUGUGUGAGGCACUGGGUUCAAUCCUCAGCACCACAUAAAAAUAAAUAAAAUAAAGGUCCAUCAACAACUAAAGACAAAUUUUUUUAAAAAUCACUCACAUGUUAUACCUUAUAGGAUUAAUGUCAUGGUUUGAAACUAAUCCCAUGAUAAAACAUUAAAAAAUACAGCCUUUCAGAAUUAGAUUUUCUAUGAUUUUCUAGUUUGUUUCACAAAACAUGACAAUCAUUACUGGGGCCUGGUGCUUUAAAUAUAUACACUAUACAAGUAGUAAAUUUAGAAUAUGUAAAAAAGAAGAGGGAGUAAUUAAAAAUAUUCACACAAACCUCCCUCAUCAAAGGGAGUGCACAAUUCAAGUCUCUUACCAAUGUUCCCAAUUUGAUAUCUUCUCAAAUUAGAAUGUCUCAGCUUCAUUUCUGAUGCAAAAUCAUGCCUCUGCCCCCUGCUUGCUUGUGGAGAGGGAACAUUUCCUCUUUGUGUGUCAUAGAAUC